CCCAUAUUGACUAAUUAAAGGGAUGAUCAUAGGUUUACAAGUAAGAAAUACUAUCUUCAUUAGUACGAGGUCUUUUGAGAAACGAAAAGUAAAACUACGAGAACUUAUGCUCAAAGUAGAUAAUAUCGUACUAUUGUGGAAAAUAAUAUCCCUGCACACAAUUGACGCAUAUCUUCGAUGAAACUUACCAGGUUCAACACUCUAUCGUUGAUAUGAAGCCUCAAGAAAGGGUGGCAGAGGUAUGGAUCUGUAAUGGGUGGCCUACUUAAUGAUUCCUUUUGCUGGACCUUCAUUAAAUACUCCCUCCCUGCAAAAGUACAAAAGGGUAUGAUAAAUUAUCUUUUUUUUUUUUACCUUAAUGAUAUUGAUUAUGUACCAAGCAGUUCGUCAAUAUAAUGGAAUUCUGAAAUGAAAUUAAAUUGCAUAGAGAUUCUUGUCUUAUUUUAGACUCAUAUUUAGCUGGAAAAAUAUUGACCAAGCAAUUCGUGAA